UUUCCGUAGGUGAACCUGCGGAAGGAUCAUUAGUGAAUUGAAUAUGUUAGCGGACCUCUUCGGAGUCCCUAGCAUCAAAUCAUAUCCAUAACACCUGUGAACUGUAAGGCUGUCUUGAAAACGAAAGUGAUUAGAGCGCCUGCCCAUUUUAUACAAACAUUAAAGUAACAAACGUAGUCUUAUUAUAUCUAAUAAAACUUUCAACAACGGAUCUCUUGGCUCUC
rnacentral:misc_RNA from 1 species